AUCAACUUUCGAUGGUAGGAUAGAGGCCUACCAUGGUGGUAACGGGUAACGGGGUGUUAGGGCACGACACCGGAGAGGGAGCCUGAGAAACGGCUACCACAUCCAAGGAUGGCAGCAGGCGCGCAAAUUACCCAAUCCCGACACGGGGAGGUAGUGACAAUAAAUAACAAUACGGGGUUCUUUCGGAUCUCGUAAUUGGAAUGAGUACAAUUUAAAUCUCUUAACGAGGAACAAUUGGAGGGCAAGUCUGGUGCCAGCAGCCGCGGUAAUUCCAGCUCCAAUAGCGUAUAUUAAAGUUGUUGCAGUUAAAAAGCUCGUAGUUGAAUUUCGGGGUUAGUAGGUUGGUCAUGCCUCUGGUACGUACUGGUCUCACUGAUUCCUCCUUCCUGAUGAACCGUAAUGCCAUUAAUUUGGUGUUGCGGGGAAUUUGGACUGUUACUUUGAAAAAAUUAGAGUGUUUAAAGCAAGCUAACGCUUGAAUACAUUAGCAUGGAAUAAUGAAAUAGGACGUUCGAUCCUAUUUUGUUGGUUUCUAGGAUUGACGUAAUGAUUAAUAGGGAUAGUUGGGGGCAUUAGUAUUCAAUUGUCAGAGGUGAAAUUCUUGGAUUUAUUGAAGACUAACUACUGCGAAAGCAUUUGCCAAGGAUGUUUUCAUUAAUCAAGAACGAAAGUUAGGGGAUCGAAGACGAUCAGAUACCGUCGUAGUCUUAGCCAUAAACUAUGCCGACUAGGGAUCGGAUGAUGUUAAUUUUUUAAUGACUCAUUCGGCGCCUUACGGGAAACCAAAGUGUUUGGGUUC
rnacentral:rRNA from 1 species